UGUAACAUACUGCUGUUUAUACUGUUUAAACCUCUUGAUUAAACAGAUUCUCUUCUUAAAAACAGAAAAUGUAAAGUCCCAAGGCUAUCAGACGGCUUACAACUUGCCAGACCUGAACCAGGUGAUCAACUUACAAGAGGAGAAAAGUUGACAUUUAAUUGCCCCCCGGCCUGCAGACUAAGCGUGAAAGCAGUGGAUGACUGUUUAGCAGGCGGUCAAUGGAGUGACUCCUUUCCAACAUGUGGAGGUCACCUGCAAAGUUUGUCAUUCCUUCACCUCAGUUGCGGCUGAAGGGCUCAACCAAUCAUACAACAUAG